CAAUAGCGUAUAUUAAAGUUGUUGCAGUUAAAAAGCUCGUAGUUGAACUUCAGGCUUGGCGGGGUGGCCUGCCUCACGGUAUGUACUACCCGGCCGAGCCUUACCUCCUGGUGAGCCUGCAUGCCGUUUAUUCGGUGUGUAGGGGAACCAGGAAUUUUACUUUGAAAAAAUUAGAGUGUUCAAAGCAGGCAUAUGCCCGAAUACAUUAGCAUGGAAAAAUAGAAUAGGACGUGCGGUUCUAUUUUGUUGGUUUCUAGGAUCGCCGUAAUGAUUAAUAGGGACGGUUGGGGGCAUUAGUAUUCAGUUGCUAGAGGUGAAAUUCUUAGAUUUACUGAAGACUGACUACUGCGAAAGCAUUUGCCAAGGACGUUUUCAUUAA
rnacentral:rRNA from 1 species